rnacentral:rRNA from 1 species
GAUGAACGCUAGCGGCAGGCUUAACACAUGCAAGUCGAGGGGCAGCGUGGAGCAGCAAUGCUCUGACGGCGACCGGCGGAAGGGUGCGUAACACGUGAGCGACUUGCCCGUCACAGGGGGAUAACCGGCGGAAACGGCGACUAAUACCCCAUACGAUGUGAUGCUGCAUGGCAUUGCAUUGAAAGAUUCAUCGGUGGCGGAUAGGCUCGCGGGACAUUAGCUAGACGGCGGGGCAACGGCCCACCGUGGCGACGAUGUCUAGGGGUUCUGAGAGGAAGGCCCCCCANACUGGGACUGAGACACGGCCCAGACUCCUACGGGAGGCAGCAGUGAGGAAUAUUGGUCAAUGGGCGGAAGCCUGAACCAGCCAUGCCGCGUGAAGGACUAAGGCCCUACGGGUCGUAAACUUCUUUAGACGCAGAGCAAUAAGGUCCACGCGUGGACCGAUGAGAGUAUGCGUAGAAUAAGC